rnacentral:rRNA from 1 species
AUUGAACGCUGGCGGCAUGCCUUACACAUGCAAGUCGAACGGCAGCACGGGUGCUUGCACCUGGUGGCGAGUGGCGAACGGGUGAGUAAUACAUCGGAACGUACCUUAUCGUGGGGGAUAACGCAGCGGAAGCUGUGCUAAUACCGCAUACGCCCUGAGGGGGAAAGCGGGGGAUCGAAAGACCUCGCGCGAUUAGAGCGGCCGAUGCCUGAUUAGCUUGUUGGUGGGGUAAAAGCCCACCAAGGCGACGAUCAGUAGCUGGUCUGAGAGGACGAUCAGCCACACUGGGACUGAGACACGGCCCAGACUCCUACGGGAGGCAGCAGUGGGGAAUUUUGGACAGUGGGGGCAACCCUGAUCCAGCCAUCCCGCGUGUGCGAUGAAGGCCUUCGGGUUGUAAAGCACUUUUGGCAGGAAAGAAAUCGCAUGGGCUAAUACCCUGUGUGGAUGACGGUACCUGCAGAAUAAGCACCGGCUAACUACGUGCCAGCAGCCGCGGUAA